GACGGACGCUGGCGGCGUGCUUAACACAUGCAAGUCGAACGGAAAGGCCCUGCUUUUGUGGGGUGCUCGAGUGGCGAACGGGUGAGUAACACGUGAGUAACCUGCCCUUGACUUUGGGAUAACUUCAGGAAACUGGGGCUAAUACCGGAUAGGAGCUCCUGCUGCAUGGUGGGGGUUGGAAAGUUUCGGCGGUUGGGGAUGGACUCGCGGCUUAUCAGCUUGUUGGUGGGGUAGUGGCUUACCAAGCCUUUGACGGGUAGCCGGCCUGAGAGGGUGACCGGCCACAUUGGGACUGAGAUACGGCCCAGACUCCUACGGGAGGCAGCAGUGGGGAAUAUUGCACAAUGGGCGGAAGCCUGAUGCAGCAACGCCGCGUGCGGGAUGACGGCCUUCGGGUUGUAAACCGCUUUCGCCUGUGACGAAGCGUGAGUGACGGUAAUGGGUAAAGAAGCACCGGCUAACUACGUG
rnacentral:rRNA from 1 species